UACGUAGGGUGCAAGCGUUGUCCGGAAUUAUUGGGCGUAAAGAGCUCGUAGGCGGCCUGUUGCGUCGGCUGUGAAAACCCGGGGCUCAACCCCGGGCCUGCAGUCGAUACGGGCAGGCUAGAGUCCGGUAGGGGAGACUGGAAUUCCUGGUGUAGCGGUGAAAUGCGCAGAUAUCAGGAGGAACACCGGUGGCGAAGGCGGGUCUCUGGGCCGGAACUGACGCUAAGGAGCGAAAGCGUGGGGAGCGAACAGG
rnacentral:rRNA from 1 species